CCUACGGGAGGCAAUGCCCGGAUGAUGACGGUACCCCUGGAAUAAGCCACGGCUAACUCUGUGCCAGCAGCCGCGGUAAGACAGAGGCGGCGAGCGUUACCCGGAUUCACUGGGCGUAAAGGGUGCGUAGGCGGUCGCGCAUGUCGUCGGUGAAAUCUCCCUGCUCAACGGGGAGAGGUCCGACGAAACUGCGCGGCUGGAGGGCCGGAGAGGGAGGCGGAACUUCCAGAGUAGCGGUGGAAUGCGUAGAUACCGGAAGGUACCUCAAUAGCGAAGGCAGCCUCCUGGCGGGUUCCUGACGCUGAGGAACGAAAGCGUGGGGAGCAAACCGGAUUAGAUCCCCGGGUAGU
rnacentral:rRNA from 1 species